rnacentral:rRNA from 1 species
UACGGAGGGGGGCAAGCGUUGUUCGGAAUUACUGGGCGUAAAGGGCUCGUAGGCGGCCAACUAAGUCGGACGUGAAAUCCCCAGGCUCAACCUGGGAACUGCGUCCGAUACUGGAUGGCUUGAAUCCGGGAGAGGGAUGCAGAAUUCCAGGUGUAGCGGUGAAAUGCGUAGAUAUCUGGAGGAAUACCGGUGGCGAAGGCGGCAUCCUGGACCGGCAUUGACGCUGAGGAGCGAAAGCCAGGGGAGCAAACGGG